AUUGAACGCUGGCGGCAUGCUUUACACAUGCAAGUCGAACGGCAGCGCGGGCUUCGGCCUGGCGGCGAGUGGUGAACGGGUGAGUAAUGCAUCGGAACGUGCCCAGUAGUGGGGGAUAGCCUGGCGAAAGCCGGUUUAAUACCGCAUACGACCUGAGGGUGAAAUCGGGGGACCGAAAGGCUUCGUGCCAUUGGGGUGGCCGAUGUCGGGUUAGCUGGUUGGUGGGGUAAAGGGUUACCAAGGCGACGAUCCGUAGCUGGUCUGAGAGGGCGGCCAGCCACACUGGGACUGAGACACGGCCCAGACUCCGGCGGGAGGCAGCAGUGGGGAAUUUUAGACAAUGGGGGCAACCCUGAUCCAGCCAUGCCGCGUGCGGGAAGAGGCCCUUCGGGUUGUAAACCGCUUUUGUUCGGGAAGAAAUCCUCUGGGCUAAUACCCCAGGGGAAUGACGGUACCGGAAGAAUAAGCACCGGCUAACUACGUG
rnacentral:rRNA from 1 species